rnacentral:rRNA from 1 species
GGUGGCUUUAGCGUGGAGGUUCACCUCUUCCCUUACCGAACAGAGAAGUUAAGCUCCGCUGCGCCGAUGGUACUGCACAACAAUGUGGGAGAGUAGGUCGUCGCCAU